CCGGAUGUGGCGCAGUUUGGUAGCGCGCUACCUUGGGGUGGUAGAGGCCGUGGGUUCAAGUCCCGCCAUUCGGACCA
rnacentral:tRNA from 1 species